UACAGAGGGUGCGAGCGUUGUUCGGAAUUAUUGGGCGUAAAGCGCUUGUAGGCGGCACGUCAAGUCGCGUGUGAAAUCCCCAGGCUUAACCUGGGAAGUGCGCGCGAAACUGACGAGCUUGAGUGCCGGAGAGGGUCGCGGAAUUCCCGGUGUAGAGGUGAAAUUCGUAGAUAUCGGGAGGAACACCAGAGGCGAAGGCGGCCACCUGGACAGACACUGACGCUGAGACGCGAAAGCGUGGGGAGCAAACAGG
rnacentral:rRNA from 1 species